AUUUUCUUAUAUAAUCACAAGCAAACACCUUCUUACUUUUAAUAUAUGAAGUGGUUGAUACCAUCUCUUAGGAUGUUUUUCCACAGAACUUCACAAUCUGUGCCAAACGGACACUGUAGACUUGCCAGAGUUUGCCAUUCAGAUAUGGAAAAUUUUCACGUGCAUUUGUAUUACUUCCUUUUGCAUCUGUGUGCCCAUCAUCUACAGUCAAGGUAUAUUGUAAGGGUAUGUAUAAGGAGAGAGCGAUUUCUCCUUUUAUGGUAUCUGGCCACACGGCAGGUGAAUGUUAAACAAUAUCAAGAAUGGAAUAUAUCACUGUGCCACUGAUCCAUUUCAAAGUGCAUUCACCUUCAAUGAUCUUCCAUAGGAAGAGAAACCAAAAAGACUUCAAACUCAUAUGAGAUUCAGGUACCUUAAAAAUAGAAUAAAGGCCCACUUCAGAUACUCAAAUUAUCUGAUGCAUGCAUGAGGCUGGCAGAUACGGAGACAACUACGGGACACAUAUCCUCCUGGAGAGCUGACUGGCAGACGACUACCCUGACAUCUAGAGUGGUAUCAGGUGCAUAUACUCAUUCUAAAUCCCAUCCAUCAUGUCUAUAAAGCUGUGAAGCAGCAGGUAGGGAAUGAUUAUUGACACCAUCUCAAAUGAUAUGUGUACACUAGCAGGUAGCAGAUUUAAAAGCAAAUAGUAACCAAUACGCUUUCACACCUUGUGUAUAUGUGUGUACGUGUAUGUGUAGAUCAUACGUCUGCUGACCAAAAUGUCUCCAAGUACACACCAGCUGACCUCCUCUUGUCUUCACUGUAUGUUCACGCUAUAAAUGUGAGUGGCAUCAUUAAGGAGCUGUGGCAUUGCUAUUGUGGGUUAUAUAGUAAAAGACUGAAGACUACUUUUUAAGGAAAAGAAGGAAAGAAAUUUGCACUUAGAAUAUUGAUUGCACUAACUUUUGCAACUGGUGACAAUUGGAUAGAAAAAUUGAAGUGAGAACUUACAGGACUGUUGACUUUUUUAAAGUUAACAAACAAGUACUCUUUUUUUGUUACUCUUCCUGUCUACCAGAAAUAUACAUAAUCAACUUUUACCAUCUUAAAUCAGCGUAUUAAUGAGUGAAUGAAAACCAACUGCAACUGUUCAGGUAUGAACAGCAUAAUUCCCAGGGUCACUAGAUGAUUUAGAUGUGAAGUCUCAUUUUUCAUAUGCAAUUCAGGAACCUGACUGAACAAAUCAAUAGGAAGCUGACUUUUAAGUCACUCUUCUACUAUCUUUAAAAAUGGGACUUAGGAUAUUUUUGAAGCGCCUUGUGAAUUUAGAAUCCUGAAAUUGAAAAUACUGGUCCUCUAAAAAGUCUGGUACCUAACCAACACCACAUCAUUGAUAAAGAAGGAAAAAUAAUCAAAUCUAUCUGAUCUACGUUAUUAUAAAGCAUGCCCUGGAAGCCUUAAACUGAAUAGGGAUCCUGAUGAUGUCAUUCUCUGCAGUGAGUCUAAUUCUUUAUCCACUAUCCUAGAAAAUAUUUUGCUGAUGGAUGUUUUCAACAUGAAACAUGGGACAUCACUUAAAAUUUUAACCAUAUGGGAAAGUUCUUGGUCUCCAGCAGUAAAACAGGUCAGAAGAACUGCAAUAGCUUUUCAAAUCAAUCCAUUUCUAGGUAGAAUGUUUUGUACAAUGUACAUAGUUUAUGUACAUGAACUAUAUUUUUCUAACCUAUCAGAAAUUUUGGAAUCCCAUUCAGGUUAUGUUACUGUACAGAAAGUAACUAUGACACUAAAUUAUUAGUCAUCAGAUUCUAAACAAAUGAUCUAUGUCAACACCUACUUUUGACAGCUGGUUAGGUUUCAUUUUGUACAAAUUCCCCAAAAGCUUACUUAUCUUUAUUUAUGGAACCUGUUUCUUUUAGUCUAAUAAAACAAGCUUGCUCUAUCCUUCCACUAUAAAGCACGUGAAGAGCAACACUGCAAUAUUAUUGUAGUAAGUAACUGUAUAAUUGUAAAAUGUAAUAUAAUUGUGAAAGUAACUGUAGACCUGCUGCAUGUGCUUUAAAAGGAAAUCCUGUCCUUGAAUCCUGAUGACUUUUUUCUUUUUUUCUCCAGAACUUUGUAUGUGCGAGUUAUAAUCUUUCAUUCCCUUAUGAACUAUACUUAGCCAUAGAAGUCAAUGGUGUUUACAAACUCAGUUUUCUCAAACGCUUUAGGUAUGUUUGAUCUCAGCAGGUUCUGUAUUAUUAGCAAGAUAAUAGCAGACAGAAUGAAAGACAGAUGGACCUGAGUUUUCCCUGCUGUACAAUUCAGGGUGCUUUUCAUUCCAGAUAAUUGAUUUGGCUAUUUUGAAAUGUUACAAUCUUAGCCUUAUUCCAAUGUUGAAGUUGGAAAGUCGGGUGAGUGGCUGACUCACUAGAGGACCGUGCAGACAGCCAGAGAGACCUUGACAGGCUGGAGAGGUGGUCUGACAAGAAUCUAAUGAAGUUCACCAAGGAAAAGCGAAGAGUCCUGCACCUGGGGAAGGACAACGCCACACACUAGGACAUACUGGGUGCCACCCAACAGGAAGGCAGCUUUACAAAAACAAUCUGAAUGUCCUGAUGGACAGCAAGUUGAACAUGAGCCAACAACGUGUCCUUGCCACUAAGGCGGCUAACAGUAUUCUUGGUUGCAUUAGGUAAAGUAUUGCCAGCCCGUCAAGAGAGGUGAUCCUUCCCCUCUGCUCAGCAUUUGUGAGGUCACACCUGACGCACUGUGUCCAGUUCUGGGAACCCCAGUACAAGACACACCUGGACACACUGGAGAGAGUUCAAUGUAGAGCCACCAUGAUAAUCAAUUCAGUCAAAGAUUCAGAAGGCAGAUGCCAUAUUCUCAGCGGUUUGUUUACAGCCACGCAACCCAUUUCUUCAGGACGAAUAGCUGAACACUCAGCAUGAACAAGCAGCAGAGACUUUUCCCACGUAUCUCUCAGUUUCUUCUUUGGUAUUUGGCACCAUUGAAAGACAG